AACCUUAUGGACCUGCGGGCGUAUACCUGCGGAGGGAUCAUUACCGAGUUUACAACUCCCAAACCCCUGUGAACAUACCUAUAUGUUGCCUCGGCGGAUCAGCCCGCGCCCCGUAAAACGGGACGGCCCGCCGCAGGAUCCACAAACUCUGUUUUUAUUGUAACUUCUGAGUAACAAAACAAAUAAAUCAAAACUUUCAGCAAUGGAUCU
rnacentral:misc_RNA from 1 species